rnacentral:misc_RNA from 1 species
AAGUCGUAACAAGGUCUCCGUAGGUGAACCUGCGGAGGGAUCAUUACCACUUGGCUCUGCCAAACGUCUCGGGACUCCCCGACGACACCACCCUUGACCACGAUACCUACGUACUUCUUCGGCGGAGACGUCCGCCGGGGGACCCCAACCAAAACUUGCCAAUGUAGCAACAAUAGUCUGAGAAAAUACAAAUAUCACAACUUUCAACAAUGGAUCUCUUGGCUCUGGC